rnacentral:rRNA from 1 species
UGCAAGUGUUAUCCGGAAUCACUGGGCGUAAAGCGUCUGUAGGUGGUUUAAUAAGUCAACUGUUAAAUCUUGAGGCUCAACCUCAAAAUCGCAGUCGAAACUAUUAGGCUAGAGUAUAGUAGGGGUAAAGGGAAUUUCCAGUGGAGCGGUGAAAUGCGUAGAGAUUGGAAAGAACACCGAUGGCGAAGGCACUUUACUGGGCUAUUACUAACACUCAGAGACGAAAGCUAGGGUAGCAAAUGGG